GGCGCCCCCUGGUGCCAGGAGGGGCUCGGCGCAGGCUGCCCCUGUGCGGAGUCCUGGGUCACCUAAGGGCGGUUUCCCAGGGAACCACUCUGGCUGGGGCACCCCGGGGCUAACUUGGAGGGUGCCGAGCUCUCCUGGAAUGGGAAGAGGCUUUGGGCUGUACUUCCUCCCCACACUCGGUCUUUCAAGUUGGAGAAGCCCUUAAGGACAGACAGAAUCAAGCUCUGAAAAACAGAAGCAGGGGGAGAAAGAAAAAAAAGCAGUCAUUCCCCACUAUCUCGACUGCGUCUUGAGAACAAGCACAUGGCCUGGUGCCUGAGAACUCUGUAAAUGUAAGAGGAGCUGACACACGGGCUGAGUACACUAUUUGGAGAAUGAACAUUGGAGGAUGGGCUCUCUGAUGUAUUCAGAGUAAGACCCAAGACAUCAUGGGUCUACAGAAAAGAGUAAUGACAAUACGUUUGAAUUCCACAGUGACCCACGUGCGUAUCAGCAAGCAACCAGACUCUCUGCCGUCUUGGAUAGCAAACUCUAGCUUGGUUUGAGAAUGAACAGAGUGACUGUGGCCGUGUGAAUCAGAAUGGCCCCCAUAGGAUCAUAGAUUUGAAAGCUUGGUUCUUAGGGAGUAGUGCUAUUUGACAGGGCUUGGGAGGGAUGGCCUUGUUGGGGUGGCUGUGGCCUUGAUGGAGGAAGUGUGUCACUGGGGAUGGGCUUUGAGAUUCCAAGAGCCCAACCCAGGCCCUGUGUCUCUCUCUUCCUGCUGCCUGUGAAUCCAGAUGUAGAACUCUGGGCUACCUCUCCAGCACCACGUCUGCCCGCACGCCACCAGGCUCCCUGCCAUGACAGCAAUGAACGAAACCUCUGAACCUGUAAGCUAGCCCUGUUUAAAUGUUUUAUUUAUACUGUAAGAGUUGCCAUGGUGAUGGUGUCUCUUCACAGCAAUAGAACACUGACUAAGACAGAAGUCGGUGGGGUACUGCUGUGACAGGCCUGACCAUGUAUCUUGGUGGAAUGUGGACUUUGGGACUUUGGAUUAGGAAAGCAGUUGAACGCUUUAAGCAGGGCUUAGUGGGCUGUCCUUUUAGGGGCAUGGAAGACAGUGGUACUGAGAGCAAUAUAGUUUAUAAUGGCCUGACUCAAGACGUUUCAGAGGAGAAGACUAUUAGUAAGUGGCCUAGAAAUCCUUUUCUUGUGAUAUUUUGGUGGGAAAUGUGGCUGUUUUCUGCCCCUGGCCAAAAAAUUUUGCCUGAAGCUAAAAUGAAGAGUUUUAGAUUGGUGGCAUUGGCAGAGGAGAUUUCAAAACAGCCUAGUAGUGACUAUGUUGUGUGGUUAUUAAUGGCCAGUCUUAGGCAGAUCUAUAGUGCAAAGGAGCAAGCUGGACAAGGAAAAGUACAAAAUGUACAGUUUGAGGAGAAAAGGAGCACCAGAGAGUGUAACGGAGUCAAGUCCAGCGCUCAAGGAGAUAAAACGUUUCAAUAAAAGCCUUAUCCUAAAUGAAGUAAAGGGAGUGGUGACCUCGGUGCAAGACUCCACCCGGAUAAGCUUCCAACUUGUGAAAAGGGAUUAAAGAAAAGCUUAGGCUGAGCAGUGGUGGUGGUUCAGGCCUUUAAUCACAGCACUCAAGAGGCAAAGGCAGACAGAUCUCUAAGUUCAAGGACAGCCAAGCUUAAGCAGUGAGGGAAAAUGUAUUUGACUGUGGGGGCCAUGUUCGAGUCCCAGCAAGCAAAAGAACUUGGCAGUUUUAACCACAUGGUUCUGGCUUUAGAGUCAAGAAUCCAAGAAAGAAAUGUGUUCUGGAAACUCCUCUAAUAGCUGGAAGCGGAGAGCAUACACAGAGCUGUAUCUGCAGUUUUUGUCAGAGCAAAUAUAGACAAGUCUGCAUUUGAGGCCAUUUCCCUGGUUUGAGAAAAAGGGAUAUGAGAAAUUUGGAGGGUUGAAAGGCUUAACAAAGACCCUAGGCUCUAAACUGUAUGAUUUCCUUAAAAAUAACCACUUUAAGAAUCUCCAUACAUGCCGGGCGGUGGUGGCGCACGCCUUUGAUCCCAGCACUCGGGAGGCAGAGGCAGGCAGAUUCCUGUGAGUUCAAGGCCAGCCUGGUCUACAGAGCGAGAUCCAGGACAGGCACCAAAGCUACACAGAGAAACCCUGUCUCGAAAACAACAACAACAACAAAAAUCCAUACAUACAAAAAAAUAUGUUGGGAAUUGGCCUCUGUCUCUCUGUCUGUCUUUCUGUCUCUCUGUCUCUCUCUGUCUCUCUCUGUCUCUCUCUGUCUCUCUCUCUGCUCUCUCUCUCUCUCUCUCUCUCUCUCUCUCUCUCUCUCUCUCUCUCUCUCUCAGCCAUACAUUAAGCAAAUAUGUUUUACUCUAUUCCACAGUGGGAGGACUUCCUGAUUUCACAGAAUUCAGUUUCCUUACACCCUCAAAAUACUUAAAAUAAUUCCCCAAUUUUGUCUGAUAAAGCUUUGGAUGGGUUACUGCUACUGGACACCAGAAAAUAUUCUUUUUCUAUUGUUUUACAUUUUGUUUCUGUGGGUGCAGUGGUGCAUGCUGUGACUUGUGUGGAGGUCAGAGGGCAACUCUCAGGAGUUGCUUCUCUUCUUGCACCACGUAGGUUCCAGGGACUGAAUUCAGGUCAUCAGGUUUCACGGCAAGCACCUUUACCUACUGAACCAUCUUGCCGGCCCAGUACAUUUUUUUAUGAGCCAAGCAAAGUGGUGUAUGCUUGUAAUACCAGCACUCUCAAGCCUAAGGUAAGAAGAUUAUGAAUUCAAGACCAGCCUGAGCUACACAGAAAAUCCUGUGUCAAAGUGUGGGGAGGAGGUAUUUUUUCUCUUGUAAGGAAAAGCUCAAGGUCACAUAGAUUAAACAAAAUGAAAUAUGUACUCUUCACACACGCGCAGGCAGUACAAGGUUAGCAUGGCAGAUACCUGGUAGGCAGGAACUCCUGUCUUAUGACAUCAUCCCCUAAACAAAUAACUUCUACCUUAUGAUCCAUGAUAGGUGCUCAGGCUCCAACAAUCACAUCCCUUUCUUAGCUAGCAGAACAGGAAGUGGUGGGGGAAAAAAAAAGAAACAACCUUCUAUUCAAGGCCAUGUCUAAAGCCUAUUGGCCAAGUAUAGUCUUUACUGUGGCUCUAACGCUACACCAGAAAGAAAGAACCAGUAUCAGAGGUAGCCAUGGUUCUCUCACUCACCAUCUGAGACAAGGCUUAGGACAGGGCAGUGGAGUUGUGAUGGAACAAACAUGGGCAAAGGUGCCGUAAGUGUGAGGACUCUCAGUGUGUUCCGAGAUGGCAAGCAGUUAGAGGUGUUGGCACAUAGAACAAGUUCGAGUUGGGAGGUAAGCCUUCAAAGAUCCAAAAGAGCCAUGGGCCUUCAAAAAAGAUGACUGUAAAAUAAAAUGUGCUCCAGACAGGAUCUUGUCUGAGGAUCACGUCUCUCACAAAUGUGGACAGGGCUUUUUUUUAUUAUCGCCCCUUAACAAUAAGAAACAUCUUCUUGUGUCCUUUAUGUGGUGAACUUCCAGCUUGGGAAAAAAAACAGUUUUGAAAGUCACACACAUUUACACCACUAAAUUUUUAAUUUUUAUUUACGAUACACAUUCCAUAUAGCAAAUCUCCAGAACAGAACGCCAGAGCACAGUGGUGGUCAGCUAGGAGACCAUCCUGAUCCUAAUGGGGUAGGAGAAAGAGACCUCACAAGGGCUACUGAUGCCAGCAGGAAAUGCGAGCAGUUUGGAAAGGCCCAGUAUCCGCAGUGGAAGAAGGGCAAAACGCUCCAGGACCCAUCAAAGACAAGCUGUGGUGAUCCUUGCAUUCGUGGUCAGCCAUUUUGCUGUUAGCACUCUGAGAAGGCCUUUUCCUUAGGUAAAAGCAGGAGUUAUGGAGGAGUUAUGGUUGUCAACGUUCUUCAUGCCCAUGCUCCCGACAGUUUCCAGUCAGGGCAAAGACAAAGCCAUGUGUGCAGUCUGUGUUUAUUUUAAUGCAAUCCGAAUCCUAGAUUGAGGGAUCGUGCUAACAAGAUGUUCCAAGGUCAAGGGCUUUGGGGAAUUAAAGAACUCCCACAGGCCCAACCUAUCCAACAUGUAGGGGCCCAAGAGAAUUUGCUUUCGUGCUGUGCUGUUCUGAUGAAACAGCGGAAUGAAUACACUGAACUUGGAAACACAGAGGGAAUGGGCUUUUGUUUCAGGAGGUGAAAAUGGUAGGUUUAAACUGGGCAUGAGGAUUGAGCCCAGAGCUUAAUGGAAUUCUGAAUUCUGAAGAGUUAUCCUAUUUCUGUAGAAAUAAAGUUCAAAUUUCGGAAGAGAGAUGUUCCGACGAACAUGAAUCAUACUUCAAGUUCCUGCAGCUGCUUUUGAUACAAAAACCUCAAGAUGUGUUUGAAUCAUCAAGUGCCUCUCCAACGUGCACAGUGUGGUUGCAAAAGGGAUUUAAUCUCAUGAAUCUGAAAAAGAGAUUGACUAUUCUGCCAUAGAUUUAGUUGGGAUUUGAGAAGUGGCAUGUGAAUCACAGAAUUGCCCUAAAUUUUAGUCUGCAUGGAUUUCUUUCAUAACAAUACUAAAAUCCAGGCAAAAGCAAUCAUGCUGUCAGUAACAAAAAGAACAAAAAGUCUAAAUUCAGCUAUCCAUCACCCGAACACCGUUGAGACACCCCAAAACUUGUUCAGCUGGGUACAUAACUGCAUUGUCCUUAACACAGUCAAAAUUAGUCAACAAGUUUCGGUUUUAUGAUAGUAUUUUUCCAGGACCAGAAACACUCUGCUAUCAACCCUGUAUAAAUAGCUCUUUCCAAAUAAGUGGAUCCUUGGGGUUACUUGGAAUGGACAUUGGUCCCAGUUUGCCACCAGCAAUCCCAACUCAAGACCCUGGUGACCCAGAAGAUUCUAGAAUCUGACAUUGACGAAAGGAUGUGAGAAAUGGUUAAAUAUUGUGAAAUCCAGUAUUUUAUAAUGAGUAAAUAAGUAAAUAUAGGCAUAACUGACCUAUCUUUUGGGAUCCUAUAAUUUUCAAUGUAUUAUAGUUACUAGCCUCUAAGUAAGCUAUGAGUCACCCCUUGAUUUGAUAGGUUAUAUUACCACAUUUUUGUAAACAUGGUAGACAAAACAUUUUGAAAGACUUUUUACUUUAUUCUAAAAAUCCAUAAUUUUAGCCAGGCAAUGGUGGCCCACGCCUUUAAUCCCAGCACUCGGGAGGCAGAGGCAGGUGAAUCUCUGUGAGUUCGAGGCCAGCCUGGUCUACAGAGUGACUUCCAGGAUAUCCAGAGCUGUUACACAAAGAAACCCUAUUGUUGUUGGAUGUUUUUACUUUUUUGGGGGGCCGUCACCCAGCUCCCAAAUAAAUCACAUAUGGAGGCUUUUAUUCCUAAUUAUGAAUGCCCAGUCUUAGCUUGGCUUAGUUUCUAGACAGCUUUCCUUAAUUUAAAUUAUCCCAUCUAUGUUGACUCUGGGCUUUUCCCUUUCUCUUAGUUCUAUAAAUCCUACUCUUACUCUGUGGCUUACAGUGUAGCUGGGUAACUGGUCCCUGGAGUCCUCCUCCUUCUCUGAUUACUUCUUCCCCAUCUCCCACAUUUCUCCUUCUAUUUAUUCUCUCUGCCUGCCAGCCCCACCUAUCCUUUCUCCUGCCUCGCUAUUGGCCGUUCUGAUCUUUAUUAGACCAUCAGGUGCUUUAGAUAGGCACAGUAACACAGCUUCACAGAGUUAAGCAAAUGCAACAUAAACAAAAGUAACACACCUUAAAAUAAUAUUCUACUACACUCUGUCUCAAAAACCAAUAAUAAUAAUAAUAAUAAUAAUAAUAAUAAUAAUAAAUUAAAAAUCCAUAAUUUUGAAUAGCUGACAAAAUUAGGCUGCAUGCAUGUAGAUUUCUAAUUUUUCCUAAAAUGUAGAUAUCACUAUUCUGGAGAAUUAAAGAGGAGUUCUGGUAUGAAAAUGACUGAAUGCAUUCCUGUUUCUCUAUAUUCAGAAACCAUUUAAGAGCUAAGGGAGGGGGAGCCUAAUUCCCAUCCCUCAAGAUCCAGAAACUUUUUUUUUAAUCUUGCAAACUAGGACACCAGUAUGUUGUCCAGCUUCCAAUCCACAGAUGAGUGUUGAAGAGAGCAGCUGAGAUUCAACAAAA